rnacentral:rRNA from 1 species
GGUGAGGAUCCCGUCCGCUGGAUGACCAAGGGUUCCGGGGCCACGUUCGUCGUCCCCGGGUGAGUCGGGUCCUAAGGCGAGGCCGACAGGCGUAGUCGAAUGGAUGAACGGGUGGAUAUUCCCGUACCGACCAUGGACCGGCAAAACCGAGACGGUGAGUACUAACCUCCGCCUCGUGGUGGUUCCUUCCUUCGGGUUGGUUCCGCCGCGUGGUGUUGGGACCGUAGCCGCAGUAGGUCAGCGCAGGGGUGACACGGAAUGGGAGCCGGCCGCGGAGGUGGUUUUCCGUGGUCAAGCACGCAGCCAGUCAUGUAGGCAAAUCCGCAUGGCGCGCAUGGCGAGGUGUGAUGAUGGGAGCCUUUUGGGCUCGAUAUCCGGUUGUCCAGGCCGUCGAGAAAAGCCUCGGCGUGAGGGCCAUGGCCGCCCGUACCCCAAACCGACACUGGUGGUCAGGUAGAGAAUACCAAGGCGAUCGAGCGAAUCCUGGUCAAGGAACUCGGCAAAUCACUCCCGUGCCUUCGGUAUAAGGGAGACCCGCUGGGGUGAACCGGCUAGCCCGGGGAGCUUUGGUGGGUGGCACAGACCAGGGGGUAGCGACUGUUUACCAAAAACACAGGUGCAUGCGAAGGCGAAAGCCGCUGUAUAUGCACUGACGCCUGCCCGGUGCCGGAAGGUUAAGAGGAUCCGUCAGUCCUUCGGGAUGAAGCGGUGAAUUCAAGCCCCGGUAAACGGCGGUGGUAACUAUAACCAUCCUAAGGUAGCGAAAUUCCUUGUCGGGUAAGUUCCGACCUGCACGAAUGGCGUAACGACUUCCCCACUGUCUCGACCAGGAGCUCGGCGAAAUUGCAGUACGAGUAAAGAUGCUCGUUAAGCGCAGAAGGACGAAAAGACCCCGGGACCUUUACUAUACCUUGGUAUUGGCGUUAGGCGCGGAUUGUGUAGCAUAGGCGGGAGGCUUCGAAGCGUGGGCGCCAGCUCAUGUGGAGCCGCAAGGUGAAAUACCGCUCUGUUCUCGUUUGACGUCUAACCUCGACAAGUCAUCCUUGUCAGGGACAGUGCCUGGCGGGUAGUUCAACUGGGGCGGUUGCCUCCCAAAGAGUAACGGAGGCGCUCAAAGGUCCGCUCAGCCCGGUUGGCAAUCGGGUGUCGAGUGUAAUCGCACAAGCGGGCUUGACUGCGAGGACGACGGUCCGAGCAGGGACGAAAGUCGGAGAUAGUGAUCCGGUGCCGGCGCACGGGCGCGGCAUCGCUCAACGGAUAAAAGGUACCCCGGGGAUAACAGGCUGAUCAUUCCCAAGAGUCCAUAUCGACGGGAUGGUUUGGCACCUCGAUGUCGGCUCGUCGCAUCCUGGGGCUGGAGCAGGUCCCAAGGGUUCGGCUGUUCGCCGAUUAAAGCGGCACGCGAGCUGGGUUCAGAACGUCGUGAGACAGUUUGGUCUCUAUCCUCUGCGCUCGUUGGAAUCCUGAGGAGGCCUGCCCAUAGUACGAGAGGACCUGGGUGGACGAACCUCUGGUAUGCCGGUUGUCGCGCCAGCGGCACGGCCGGUUGGCUACGUUCGGGAGGGAUAACCGCUGAAAGCAUCUAAGCGGGAAGCCUGCUCCAAGAUUAGGAUUCCAUGGAUCUUCGAGAUCCUGUAGCCCGCAUGUUGAACACGUGUUUGAUAGGCCGGAGGUGGAAGCCCCGUGAGGGGUGGAGCCGACCGGUACUAACGGGCGACGGCGACACAAC